rnacentral:miRNA from 1 species
UGGUUUCCUGGAGCAGCAGGUU